UGGGGAAUUUUGGACAAUGGGCGCAAGCCUGAUCCAGCCAUGCCGCGUGCGGGAAGAAGGCCUUCGGGUUGUAAACCGCUUUUGUCAGGGAAGAAAUCUUCUGAGUUAAUACCUCGGGAGGAUGACGGUACCUGAAGAAUAAGCACCGGCUAACUACGUGCCAGCAGCCGCGGUAAUACGUAGGGUGCAAGCGUUAAUCGGAAUUACUGGGCGUAAAGCGUGCGCAGGCGGUUUUGUAAGACAGAGGUGAAAUCCCCGGGCUCAACCUGGGAACUGCCUUUGUGACUGCAAGGCUUGAGUGCGGCAGAGGGGGAUGGAAUUCCGCGUGUAGCAGUGAAAUGCGUAGAUAUGCGGAGGAACACCGAUGGCGAAGGCAUCCUGGCCCUGGCACUGACGCUCAUGCACGAAAGCGUGGGGAGCAAACAGGAUUAGAUACCCUGGUAGUCCACGCCCUAAACGAUGUCAACUGGUUGUUGGGAAGGUUCCUUCUCAGUAACGUAGCUAACGCGUGAANUUGACCGCCUGGGGAGUACGGCCGCAAGGUUGAAACUUAAAGGAAUUGACGGGGUC
rnacentral:rRNA from 1 species